ACCCCUGAACCACCUAAACAUCCACACAACAGACCAAGUAAUGCUGUCCAACAGCUCACUGAUGGUGGCCCUUUAGUACAUUGCUGAGUGCAAUUAUAGCUCUGGGUUAAAAACUAUUCAGAAAACAUGCGGUCUGAGUUCUAAUUUUCUGUAUCUUCUGCCAGAAGGCAACAGUCCAAAAAGAUUGUAAGCAGGAUGGGAAGAGUCUCUUGAAAAUGUUGUGCAACUUCCUCAAAUAGUGAGAUGUGAAGAUGUAAUGGUGUACAGAUAUUUUGUAGGUUCCUAGAAGUCUAUGUGUAGGAUCUGUAUAAGUCAGUAUGGAAACAGGCUAGCAUUAAUAUUUGUUCCAUUCCUUUCUGGCCCUUCUUGCAGAUCUUUCCAUCGCAUCGACUUUGUAUUGGAGGUCACUUGUUAUUUGCAGAUAGCAGGGAUAGCAGCAGUGGGUACAGAAGAUGCAUAUUCCAGAUGCAGCCUUCCAAAUGGCUUACUCCAAUGCCCCAAACUCUCAGACAACGAACCAACAUAUUGGCAAUGAAAACUCCAAGGGUUCCAUCUUUUAUGACUCUAAAACCAGGUGUAAGGAUACAUUUUGUUGGAGCUGCAGCACA